rnacentral:rRNA from 1 species
UCGUGAGACAGUUCGGUCCCUAUCUGCCGUGGACGUUUGAGAUUUGAGAGGGGCUGCUCCUAGUACGAGAGGACCGGAGUGGACGAACCUCUGGUGUUCCGGUUGUCACGCCAGUGGCAUUGCCGGGUAGCUAUGUUCGGAAAAGAUAACCGCUGAAAGCAUCUAAGCGGGAAACUUGCCUCAAGAUGAGAUCUCACUGGGAACUUGAUUCCCCUGAAGGGCCGUCGAAGACUACGACGUUGAUAGGCUGGGUGUGUAAGCGUUGUGAGGCGUUGAGCUAACCAGUACUAAUUGCCCGUGAGGCUUGACCAU